rnacentral:snoRNA from 1 species
GCAAUGAUGAGACAUAUUAUCAAACAGUUAUCCCUGUCUGAAGACUAUUGUUGAGAUUUUAUUUGAUCUGAUUGC